UACGUAGGGUGCAAGCGUUAAUCGGAAUUACUGGGCGUAAAGCGUGCGCAGGCGGUUGUGUAAGACAGAUGUGAAAUCCCCGGGCUUAACCUGGGAACUGCAUUUGUGACUGCACAGCUGGAGUGCGGCAGAGGGGGAUGGAAUUCCGCGUGUAGCAGUGAAAUGCGUAGAUAUGCGGAGGAACACCGAUGGCGAAGGCAAUCCCCUGGGCCUGCACUGACGCUCAUGCACGAAAGCGUGGGGAGCAAACAGG
rnacentral:rRNA from 1 species